AGGUGAACAUUUUACUAGCACAUCUGAUAUCUGCACAUCGACCGAUAAUAGAAAAAUUGCGAAACGAAAUUAAACAUACAGAGUUAUCACGAUAUUUCGCAUUCGACGUAGGAUGUGUUAACACAAGAUGCAUUAGGUGCGACGAAGAAAUCAGUAUUUUUGCUGGAAUGAAAAAUUUAGAAGACCAUUUGCUCCUCCAUCAUAAAAUAGAUUUCCAAUUUAAAGCUAUCCAAGAGGCAACAUUAAAAUUGAACCACUGGACUAACUGACAUUCGCAAGCUUGAAAAAAAUCGAGAACAGUGAUUUAAUCAAGAAGAAGAACAACAGGGACAGCGAGAAUAUUGAUUUCAGAUUGAUAGCAUCAGAUUUCGAAAGCAUCAAUGUGUUUAGCAGUCAUGACUCCGAUAUCUCAAAUGGACCGAAAUAAAUAAGCAUGACGAGUAAUUAUUCGCUUUGCAUUUUUACUGUAAAGCGAUUUUAUGAAUUACGUAACUUUUCUACAAUUAUAUAAUCUACAAGCAUUUAUUAACCAUUUUGUUAAUUAUUUUCUAAUUAACUCAGUACAAAUAUUUAAAUUUUUUAUGUUGAUAUACAUAUUCUUUUAUCUAUCUCGUGUAACAUUAGGUACAUUGUAAUUACAAAAAUAUCCGGAUAAUAUGGUAUUUAAAUUAUUCAAUAUAAUUUAUUAUCCAAUAUAAUUAAAAUUCACAAUCAAAUUUAGGAAUUUGAAUUAUAUGGAUAAUCCAUACAUUAUUAUUCCAAGAACAGAAUCUAAGACUUUGUUAAUUCAUAUUCAAACUAUUCAGUAUAAAAACAUGAAAUCGUAAAAUACGAUAUUAUAAAUUUAUACAAAUAAAAAAAGGAAUUUUAUCAGUGAAUAAAUGAUGAAUAUAUCAGAUAUCAGAUAAUUAAAAUUGUGAGAAUAGGUUUACUGUCGUAAAUCUCUACGUAUCAUUCAAUUAAUGUAAAAUUAAUCAUUAUCAGUCGAGACAAUAUUUAAAUAUAUUUAAUUAUAUAUA